rnacentral:rRNA from 1 species
AACGAACGCUGGCGGCAGGCUUAACACAUGCAAGUCGAACGGUUGUAGCAAUACAGCAGUGGCGCACUGGUGAGUAACACGUGGGAAUAUCCCUUUCAGUACGGAAUAACGUCGGGAAACUGACGCUAAUACCGUAUACACCUCCGGGUGAAAGAUUUAUCGCUGAAAGAUUAGCCCGCGUCAGAUUAGCUAGUUGGUGGGGUAACGGCCUACCAAGGCUCCGAUCUGUAGCUGGUCUUAGAGGACGAUCAGCCACACUGGAACUGAGACACGGUCCAGACUCCUACGGGAGGCAGCAGUGGGGAAUAUUGGACAAUGGGGGAAACCCUGAUCCAGCCAUGCCGCGUGAGUGAUGAAGGCCUUCGGGUUGUAAAGCUCUUUUGUCAGGGAAGAUGAUGACUGUACCUGAAGAAUAAGCCCCGGCUAACUUCGUGCCAGCAGCCGCCGUAACAC